GACGAACGCUGGCGGCGUGCUUAACACAUGCAAGUCGAACGAAGUGGCGAACGGGUGAGUAACGCGUCAUCAACCUGCCCUUCAGUGGGGGACAACAGUUGGAAACGACUGCUAAUACCGCAUACUGAAGGAGGGGAUUGCGUCGGAUUAGCUAGUUGGGGGGGUAACGGCCCACCAAGGCGAUGAUCAGUAGCCGGGCUGAGAGGGUGGACGGCCAAAAUGGGACUGGGACACGGCCCAGACUCCUACGGGAGGCAGCAGUGGGGAAUCUUCCGCAAUGGACGAAAGUCUGACGGAGCAACGCCGCGGGAGUGAUGACGGCCUUCGGGUUGUAAAGCGCUGUUAAUCGGGACGCGGUACCGGAAGAAAAAGCCACGGCUAACUACGUGCCAGCAGCCGCGGUAAUAC
rnacentral:rRNA from 1 species